GACGGAGGAUGCAAGCGUUAUCCGGAAUGAUUGGGCGUAAAGCGUCCGCAGGUGGCAGUUCAAGUCUGCUGUCAAAGACCGGGGCUUAACUUCGGAAAGGCAGUGGAAACUGAACUGCUAGAGUGUGGUAGGGGCAGAGGGAAUUCCCGGUGUAGCGGUGAAAUGCGUAGAGAUCGGGAAGAACACCGGUGGCGAAAGCGCUCUGCUGGACCACAACUGACACUCACAGGACGAAAGCUAGGGGAGCGAAUGGG
rnacentral:rRNA from 1 species